GAACAUCGGUGGCUUUGAGGAGGUCCUGAGGGCUUCUGGAGGUCAGAGGUGGAACGUCGGUGGCUUUGAGGAGGUCCUGAGGGCUUCUGGAGAUCAGAGGUGGAACAUCGGUGGCUUUGAGGAGGUCCUGAGGGCUUCUGGAGGUCAGAGGUGGAACAGCGGUGGCUUUGAGGAGGUCCUGAGGGCUUCUGGAGGUCAAUGGACCUCCAAAGGUGGAACGUCGGUGGCUUUGAGGAGGUCCUGAGGGCUUCUGGAGGUCAAUGGACCUCCAAAGGUGGAACAUCGGUGGCUUUGAGGAGGUCCUGAGGGCUUCUGGAGGUCAGAGGUGGAACAUCGGUGGCUUUGAGGAGGUCCUGAGGGCUUCUGGAGGUCAAUGGACCUCCAGAGGUGGAACAUCGGUGGCUUUGAGGAGGUCCUGAGGGCUUCUGGAGGUCAAUGGACCUUCAGAGGUGGAACGUCGGUGGCUUUGAGGAGGUCCUGAGGGCUUCUGGAGGUCAGAGGUGGAACGUCGGUGGCUUUGAGGAGGUCCUGAGGGCUUCUGGAGGUCAAUGGACCUCCAGAGGUGGAACAUCGGUGGCUUUGAGGAGGUCCUGAGGGCUUCUGGAGGUCAAUGGACCUCCAGAGGUGGAACAUCGGUGGCUUUGAGGAGGUCCUGAGGGCUUCUGGAGAUCAAUGGACUUCCAGAGGUGGAACAUCGGUGGCUUUGAGGAGGUCCUGAGGGCUUCUGGAGGUCAAUGGAUCUCCAGAGGUGGAACAUCGGUGGCUUUGAGGAGGUCCUGAGGGCUUCUGGAGGUCAGAGGUGGAACAUCGGUGGCUUUGAGGAGGUCCUGAGGGCUUCUGGAGGUCAAUGGACCUCCGGAGGUGGAACUUUGGUGGCUUUGAGGAGGUCCUGAGGGCUUCUGGAGGUCAGAGGUGGAACAUUGGUGGCUUUGAGGAGGUCCUGAGGGCUUCUGGAGGUCAAUGGACCUCCAGAGGUGGAACUUUGGUGGCUUUGAGGAGGUCCUGAGGGCUUCUGGAGGUCAGAGGUGGAACGUCGGUGGCUUUGAGGAGGUCCUGAGGGCUUCUGGAGGUCAAUGGAUCUCCAAAGGUGGAACAUCGGUGGCUUUGAGGAGGUCCUGAGGGCUUCUGGAGGUCAGAGGUGGAACGUCGGUGGCUUUGAGGAGGUCCUGAGGGCUUCUGGAGGUCAAUGGACCUCCAGAGGUGGAACAUCGGUGGCUUUGAGGAGGUCCUGAGGGCUUCUGGAGAUCAAUGGACCUCCAGAGGUGGAACACUGGUGGUCUCCAAGAGGUCCUGAGGCUCCUCAAGGUUCUUCUGAGGUGAUUUGGGCUCUUUGAGGUCCUUCUGAGGUGGCCAAGAUGGACCUCGAGGUGCUUCUGAGGUGGUUGAGAUGGUCCUCAAGGUCCUUCUCAGGUGGCCAAGGUGGUCCUUAAGGUCCUUCUGAGGUGUUCUGGUCUCCUCGAGGUCCUUCUGAGGUGGCUGAGGUGGUCCCUGAAGUUCUGAGGUGGCCAAGUUGGACCUUGAGGUCCUUCUGAGGUGGUUUGGUUUCCUUGAGGUCCUUCUGAGGUGGCCAAGAUGGUCUUUGAGGUCCUUCUGAGGUGGCUGAGAUGAUCCCUGAAGUUCUGAAGCGACCAAGUUGGACCUUGAGGUCCUUCUGAGGUGGCCAAGAUGGUCCUUGAGGUUCUUCUGAGGUGGCCAAGAUGGUCCCUGAGGUUCUUCUGAGGUGGUUUGGGCUCCCUGAGGUCCUUCUGAGGUGGCCAAGAUGGUCCUUGAGGUCCUUCUGAGGUGGCUGAGAUGAUCCCUGAAGUUCUGAGGUGGCCAAGUUGGACCUUGAGGUCCUUCUGAGGUGGCUAAGAUGGACCUCAAAGUCCUUCUGAGGUGGUCCCUGAAGUUCUGAGGUGGCCAAGUUGGCCCUCAAGGUCCUUCUGAGGUGGUCCCUGAAGUUCUGAGGUGGCCAAGUUGGACCUCGAGGUCCUUCUGAGAUGGUCCCUGAAGUUCUGAGGUGGCCAAGUUGGACCUCAAGGUCCUUCUGAGGUGGUCCCUGAAGUUCUGAGGUGACCAAGAUGGACCUCAAGGUCCUUCUGAGGUGGUCCCUGAAGUUCUGAGGUGGCCAAGAUGGACCUUGAGGUCCUUCUGAGGUGGUUGAGAUGGUCCUCAAGGUCCUUCUGAGGUGGUCCCUGAGGUUCUGAGGUGGCCAAGAUGGUCCUUGAGGUCCUUCUGAGGUGGUUGAGGUGGUCCCUGAGGUUCUGAGGUGGCCAAGAUGGACCUCAAGGUCCUUCUGAGAUGGUCCCUGAAGUUCUGAGGUGGCCAAGAUGGACCUCAAGUUCCUUCUGAGGUGGUCCCUGAAGUUCUGAGGUGGCCAAGAUGGACCUCGAGGUCCUCCUGAGAUGUUCCUGGAGAUGCCCUCACGGCGGGUGGUGUCCUC